AAUAAACCGGUUCUUCUCACUACUCCAACUCCUACCCGGAGUAUUACAGAGCAGUAUUAACGGGUUCUUCUCUUAACUCCAACUCCUACUCGGAGUUGAAGUCAGGAGAAUAACCAUGUUUUUCUCCCUGAUCAUGCUCCUACUCGACUUCUUAGAGCAUCUCUCGACGUGAAUAAUUCUACAAUUGUUUUAGAACAUUCAAGAUUAAUUUAGAUCAUGUCCAUCAUUCAACUAUGUCAAGUAUUACACACUCCUGAUUUUAACGUAGAAUCAGGAACUUGCUUUUAAAACUUUUUUUAGUUUUGUCAUAAUUUAAUCUUUUUUCAUUCCUCUGUACCCUUGUUGCAAAGAAAAUAUCAGUUCCAGAUAAAGAAUGAGAAAUGACUGACGUGCUCCAGCCCAAGAUGGCCGGCAGUGGCAUUGAGUGGAUUGGAACACGAACAUGGAAGGCGAUAAAAGACGGAACUCUGAAAACCCGAUCCCUCCCUGCUGAAACUGGACGGAGACGCGAUGAACCUGAGCAGGCUCCGUUUCUGAACGGGAAAAGUCGGGAAGGAACGGACGAAGUUGAUGCUCUGCCAGAAACCUUGAGAUAUAAUUGGUUCGACCUUCUCUGCACCUUAAUCUCUAUAGUAACGUAUAUAAUGGAUCUUGUAAUGGACUGUAUCGUGGCAUACUACUUCUACCACCUGGCGGUGGACCAUGGAAUCUAUCAUUACUGGUAUUUCGGACUCACCACCUUCUUCAUUGUCUUCCCAUCCCUCACCAUGACCGGGUUCAGCUUCAGAUGGUAUCUGCUGGAUAGUGAUAUGAGCGUUAAGAGGGUUUCUACCCGUCGUUGGAUUUUCAGACUUAUCAUUCUAUUUUUUCAAGUAGCUCCUAUUCUUAGGUACAUCGAUAGUAUACGGUACGGGUUGCUGAGUAGAAUGGAAAAGUGUAAGGAGGAGAGAGCAGUAAAUAACAUUGAGAAAGCAAAACAUAGAAAGGCCCGUAUCAAGUACUACACCUUGAUGGUGUACGAGGAUGCUGAUGCUACCCUGCUCCGUCUCUUCGAGUCCUUCAUGGAGUCCGCCCCACAGCUGGUUCUACAGAUAUAUAUACUUAUCAAGGAUCCACAUGCUAACAGGAAAACCGGGAUCAAUAAUGCGCAAUUGAUCGAUGAAGGAAUUGAUCCUUAUCUAAAGCUGACAAUCCUCGUCCUGUCCGUAACCUCCAGCCUGGUAUCACUAGCCUGGUCCCUUGUUGUCUACCAUAGAUCACUCAGGUACACCUUCGAUGACAAGAACAACAUCACCCUGAUCGGGACCCUCUUCCAGUUCCUCUGGCAGUUCGCCAGCAUUACAGCCAGGGUUCUUGCACUUGCACUCUUUGCUUCAAUUUUUCCUAAAUGGAUAGGACCAUUUUGUGCUGCGCACUGGCUCGUCAUGUCCUCAUGGAUCAUCUUCCAACGCACGCACGCUUGUAACUCGCACUUUGAAGAGUUUCUGUUUGCUCUCGUUCUCGGAGCAAUCUACAUCUUCUCCUUCUUCAACGCCAAGGAAGAGCAGACGAGAUACAAGUAUCUGAUGUACUUCACCUUCUCCUUCCUGGAGAACUCCGCCCUGCUGGGGAUUUGGUUCUGGAAGGUUGAGAAGACGGCCUGGUAUGUAUUCCCAGCCUUGUUCGGGCACUACUUUGCCUUCUUCGGGGGGAUAAUGUUCAUGCUGUGCUACUACGUGUGGUUCCAUCCAACCGGGAUUGAGAUGCCUUUCUUCAAGUUUCUUCAAGGAGAUCAGAGAGCAAGAGAAGCUAAUAAAGGAGAGAAGGCUAAAGGAGAUGUUGGUCCGAUUACUAUGCAGUCUCUGGUUGCCUCGGAUCUGGAACCAGUAGAGGAGGAUAUAAGAACCAGCGCCUCAUCACCGGACCUAAAACCGGAUACCGUCGACGGGACGGCUGGUUUAAAUCUAGAUCGUCUCCGGCGUUCUUACAGUGUUCCUCCGAGAGCUAGAGAGUUGAUGGCAACUCGUAAACUCAAGUACAUGGGUCAACUCUCACAGGAUUCAGUUUAACAUUAGUUUUUCUAUUAAUAAUCUUUAGAGGCGGAUGCAGGGAGGGGGGAUUGAGGAGAAAAAUCUAUGGUUUCCAGGGUUUUCAGCCCCUAACAAGUGCUGAGCCCUCCCCCCCCCCCUUCUGGAAAGAAUAAAAAUGUAAAUAAAAAUUUCCUGUGUACGCCCCUGAUUAUCUCCACCAAAUGCACGAAUGAAAAUUAUUUUUUACAUCGAACAAAAUUAACCGAAUUUUUUACUCAAUUGAUCUGCUGGAAAUCAAAUGAAACGAUCUGAUAGCAAAAAAGUUUAAAACCAUAUUAAUUGAUGAAUAACAAGAAAUGAAAAUAUCGACCAGUGCCUUCUACUCCGAAGAAACCCUCCAAUUGUUAUGCUAUUUUCCUAAAGGGACUUUAGGCGUAAUUUCAAGUGAUCCUCCAUUUGUAGAGUCACGUGACAGCAAUUCAACCGUAAUUCGAAUGAUUUACACACGAAGCGCUAUCUACUCGAUGAACAGUAAAAUGUUUGAUGGCACCGCUUUAAAUCGGGCAUUGCAAUCUUUGCUUGGAUGAUCACUUGAAAUUACGCUUACAGUUCCUUUUAAUGACGUUAUAUGUAAUUUCUUUUGUUGAUACUUCUUUUUAAGCUUCUUUGUUAAUUUUUCAGA
rnacentral:misc_RNA from 1 species